GACGAACGCUGGCGGCGUGCUUAACACAUGCAAGUCGAACGGUGAAAGCGGAGCUUGCUCCGCUGGAUCAGUGGCGAACGGGUGAGUAACACGUGGGCAACCUGCCCUUCACUUCGGGAUAACUCCGGGAAACCGGGGCUAAUACCGGAUAUGACUCCUGCGGGCUUCCGCGGAGGUGGAAGGUUUUCCGGUGAAGGAUGGGCCCGCGGCCUAUCAGCUUGUUGGUGGGGUAGUGGCUCACCAAGGCGACGACGGGUAGCCGGCCUGAGAGGGCGACCGGCCACACUGGGACUGAGACACGGCCCAGACUCCUACGGGAGGCAGCAGUGGGGAAUAUUGCGCAAUGGGCGAAAGCCUGACGCAGCAACGCCGCGUGCGGGAUGACGGCCUUCGGGUUGUAAACCGCUUUCAGCAGGGAAGAAGCCGCAAGGUGACGGUACCUGCAGAAGAAGCACCGGCUAACUACGUGCCAGCCGCCGCAGUAA
rnacentral:rRNA from 1 species